rfam:Acidobacteria bacterium 13_1_40CM_2_56_5 13_1_40cm_2_scaffold_34106, whole genome shotgun sequence.
CCACGGGCUUGCGCCCGUGGCUACACUCUUUCGCCGCUCCGCGGCU